AUUGAACGCUGGCGGCAGGCCUAACACAUGCAAGUCGAACGGUAACAGGAAGCAGCUUGCUGCUUUGCUGACGAGUGGCGGACGGGUGAGUAAUGUCUGGGAAACUGCCCGAUGGAGGGGGAUAACUACUGGAAACGGUAGCUAAUACCGCAUAACGUCGCAAGACCAAAGAGCGGGACCUUAGGGCCUCUUGCCAUCGGAUGUGCCCAGAUGGGAUUAGCUAGUAGGUGGGGUAACGGCUCACCUAGGCGACGAUCCCUAGCUGGUCUGAGAGGAUGACCAGCCACACUGGAACUGAGACACGGUCCAGACUCCUACGGGAGGCAGCAGUGGGGAAUAUUGCACAAUGGGCGCAAGCCUGAUGCAGCCAUGCCGCGUGUAUGAAGAAGGCCUUCGGGUUGUAAAGUACUUUCAGCGGGGAGGAAGGGAGUAAAGUUAAUACCUUUGCUCAUUGACGUUACCCGCAGAAGAAGCACCGGCUAACUCCGUG
rnacentral:rRNA from 1 species